rnacentral:lncRNA from 10 species
UCUAGCUACUCUGGUGGGGACUUGGAGAACCUUUGUGUCCCCACUCUGUAUCUAGCUAAUCUGGUGGGGACGUGAAGAACCUUUGUGUCUAGCUCAGGGAUUGUAAAGGCACCAGUCAGCACCCUGUCAAAACAGACCACUUUGCUCUCUGUAAAAUGGACCAAUCAGCAGGAUGUGGGUGGGGCCAGAUAAGAGAAUAAAAGCAGGCUGCCCAAGCCAGCAGUGGUAACCCCCUUGGAUCCCCUUCCACACUGUGGGAGGUUUGUUCUUUUGCUCUUUGCAAUAAAGCUUGCUGCUGCUCACUCUUUGGGUCCAGACUGUCUUUAUGAGCUAUAACACUCACCGGGAAGGUCUGCAGCUUCACUCCUGAAGCCAAGGAGACCACGAACCCACCGGGAGGAAGGAACAACUACAGACACGCCGGCUUAAGAGCUGUAGCACUCACUGCGAAGGUCCGCAGCUUCACUCUUGAGCCAGAGACCACGAACCCACCAGAAGGAAGAAACUCCAAACACAUCCGAACAUCAGAAGGAAAAAACUCCAGACACGCCGCCUUUAAGAACUGCAACACUGCGAGGGUCCGCGGCUUCAUUCUUGAAGUCAGUGAGACCAAGAACCCACCAAUUCCAGACACACUACCAAAGGCAGAGGGGAGCUCCUAGACAAAGAUAUUUUGCUUACAAAUGGAACAUAUCAAAUCAAGCUUUUGUGAACUUGAGGGAAGAAACAAAGAAUAUGAAGCCUAAAUGGAAGUGUCAGGAAAUGGUCGCCUUGCGGACAAGGAAACAGCAGCCUGGAAGGCCAGGAGAGGGCAGACUACCCACCUAACCCUCUGCAGAAUUUUGUGUGGACCCUGGAGACCAGAAACUAACUUCUCCUGCAGAGACAAGGUCUUGCUCUGUCACCCUGGCUGGUCUUGAACUCCUGGCUUCAAGCAAUUCAUCCAUCUCAGCCUCCUGAGUAGCUGGGAUUACAGGUACAAGCCACUGCACCCAGCUGUUUUUUGUUUUGUUUUGUGUUUUCUCCUCACCAUAUAAGUUUAAUUGCCUAGUUUAAGCUCCUACCGUCUUUCAUCUUCAACACAGAACUAUCUUGGUGUUAAGAAAUCUAUCUUUAACAUUUGCUGAUUGGCUGACUAAUCACUGUAUUAUGAGUUAUAUCCAUUAUAAUGUUUUUAACAUGUUUAUUUUACUCAAUGGGGAAUCUAGAUGACUUGCUGCAUGUGAAGAACAGUUCCUGGCACAGGGUUUGCUCCAAAUAAAUGUUGUCAUCAUCACCAGCACCAUCAUCGUCACCAUCAUCAUAAAUAAAAAACAGUGAAGCAUAGACAGUUUUUGCAAGAGGCCCAAGAUCAUACAUCAAAUAUGUGCACAGCCAGGACCUGAACCAGUUGAUAUCUACAAAUGCCUGGCUUUUGCCACUGGGCUCCUUCAGUCGUGCUGGUGAUUGCUGGGAAGAGAUGGAGAUAAGCAGCCUUGACUCACUCCGG